rnacentral:rRNA from 1 species
UACAGAGGUCUCAAGCGUUGCUCGGAUUCAUUGGGCGUAAAGGGUGCGUAGGUGGCGCUGUAAGUCGGGUGUGAAAUUUCGGAGCUUAACUCCGAAACUGCAUUCGAUACUGCGGUGCUUGAGGACUGGAGAGGAGACUGGAAUUCAUGGUGUAGCAGUGAAAUGCGUAGAGAUCAUGAGGAAGACCAGUGGCGAAGGCGGGUCUCUGGACAGUUCCUGACACUGAGGCACGAAGGCCAGGGGAGCAAACGGG